GACGAACGCUGGCGGCGUGCUUAACACAUGCAAGUCGAACGGAAAGGCCCUGCUUGCAGGGUACUCGAGUGGCGAACGGGUGAGUAACGCGUGGGUGAUCUGCCCUGCACUUCGGGAUAAGCCUGGGAAACUGGGUCUAAUACCGGAUAGGAGCCAUUUUUAGUGUGAUGGUUGGAAAGUUUUUUCGGUGUAGGAUGAGCUCGCGGCCUAUCAGCUUGUUGGUGGGGUAAUGGCCUACCAAGGCGGCGACGGGUAGCCGGCCUGAGAGGGUGGACGGCCACAUUGGGACUGGGAUACGGCCCAGACUCCUACGGGAGGCAGCAGGGGGGAAUAUUGCACAAUGGGCGCAAGCCUGAUGCAGCGACGCCGCGUGGGGGAUGACGGCCUUCGGGUUGUAAACUCCUUUCGCUAGGGACGAAGCUUUUUGUGACGGUACCUAGAUAAGAAGCACCGGCUAACUACGUG
rnacentral:rRNA from 1 species